rnacentral:lncRNA from 1 species
GGAGAGAGAGAGAGAGAGAGAGAGAGAAAGCGAGGCUCGAAUAAGAGAGGCAGUGGUAGAGGAACGGGGAGGAGCCCUUUCCCCUCAGGUCACCUGCAGGUGGGGCGGUUUCCCCGCGGGCGUGUUCGCGCAUGCUCUCUCGCUUCGCCGGCGAGGAGGAGUUGGAGGCGUUGCGAGGGGGGGAGGAGGAGGGGCCUGCCGGUAGUCGCGGCUUUACUCCCUCCUUUCCCCCCUCCCCCGUUGGCGGGCGCCGGGCUUCCCUCGGAUUUGCCGUUGAAAGGGAGCGCGCUUGCAGCUGCUGUCACGGGGGGGGGAAGAAAAGGCUGGGAAGGAAGUGAGAGAAACAAAGAACAUGGCGAAGCUUUGCGAGAGAGAGAGAGAGAAGGAGGGGGGGAAGGAGCGAAGAGGGGAAACGCACACGGAGGCUCUGGCACGCAGCGGAGCCGAUGGGGGUGAAGGAGGCGGACCGAGCCCAGCAGGUGCAGCAACAGGUGUACUAUCAAGACUUGGAAACACUCUGAACUGAAAUGCACUGAAGCCUGACAACUCUCAUCUAAUGUAAGAGUAUUGGGUUUGUCAUUCCUUUUGUGAUUUUGGAAGGUUUUUUUUUUUGGAAGUCUCCUCCAAGC